GUAUACUUUAUGUAUAUAUAUAUAUAUAGAGAGAGAGAGAGAGAGAGAAAAGCUACUAUACAAUCGAAAGUAUAGAAAAUUUGAUAUUUUUGAUUUUUUGAUUCUUAAAUAAAAAAUUAUACGGUUAAAAUAAUUGCGAUCUUUUCAGAAUUUAAUAGUACCCCUAGAGUUGAGUGGUUCCUACAAAAUAAUAGUAAUAAUAGUAUUAAUCCAAAUGUUAAAAAUAAUUUAAGGGACUGAUUUAAGAGCUAAAAAGUUAAAAGCAUUAGAUUAUAUAUACUUUCGAUACUCUAGCAACUCUCUCUUUCUCUCUCUCUAUAUAUAUAUAUACAUAGAUGUUAGAAUUAUUAUAUUUUUACGAGUAUAGAUCUUCUUGUAACUCUACUAGAAGUAGUAAUCGACCCGCAUGCAUGGACAUGUGCUCCCCCUAGGCCCAUCCGAGCACGACGAAGAAGGAGAAGAAAGCGCUAUGCAGGCUCAUCGACGCGCGCAAACUCUCCACGGACGCAUCCCUCCACGCGCUCCAGAACGAGCGCCUCCCGGUGCGGUCGGUGGUGCAGGUGCUCUUUUGCGAGCACACCAAGCUGAAUCGCCUGGCCGAGUGGAUGAGCGGGUCGUUUACGUUCGGCAGCGGCGGGCCGAGGAGCCCCAGCCCGGCCCAGGAGCUGCCAGGGCGGUGCCCAUCGAAGCGGGAGGUGUUGGCCCACCAGCAGGAGGUACGGCGCCUCAGGGAGGACGUCGUGCGGCUGCAGGUGCAGUUCGGGGUGCUGCAGGCGCAGCUGGAUAGGCUCACAGCGGAGAGGCGGCGGAGGGGCUUCUUCAGGUGGAGCUCCUUGCUCUUCAGCAGUGGCGGCAGAGCUGCGGCGGAUGUGGUGGUGAGGGCGGAGGAGUCGGAGAGCGGAGCGGAGCGGCGGACGCCCGCAAGCUACAAGAAAGGAAGGGGAGUACGUACGGCGGCGGUGGCGACGACGGCAGCGACGCCCAAGUGGCGGCGGUCGAUGUCUUGAAGUGGGAGUACGUACAAUGAAUUAUUAGCUUUCUGUUAGUUAAGUUUAUCUUCUGCUGUUUUUUUUUUUUUUUUCAUUUCCCUUUUUUCUGUGGGAGCGAGAUGUCUUUGACAGUUUGGUUUACAAGAGUCUUGCACUUUUUGUGUGUAAGUUGGUACAAUGUUGUUACUCUUGAUGUAUGUUUGGUCUCACUUCUAUUUAUGUCUUCAAUUGAGUGUUAGACAAACACAUUUAAGUCUUAUUGUUGAUAUUUUUUUUUUACGUUUUUUAAACACUUAUUCUAUAUAAAUUAAUGUGUCCACGGAAAAAUUUUUCUUUCGUUGUUGUAAUUUUUCCUUCGUUGUUGUAAUUGAUUAGCUUACAAUGCAUUUAGCUAAAUGAUAAUAAUAAUUUAUUUAAACAAAUUUUGGAAGUAAAGAAAAGUUGCUCUUAAAUUUUUAUUUCCUGUUGUCCCGUAAAGAUCUUGAAUGAAAGAAUUAUAAGUAAUUGAUCACCGUUCACUUUUAUACCUUUUGAUAUAUAAAACUUUAUUUUAAAAAAUAAAAAACAAACACAAUGCUAAACUAGGUAGUUUAAAACUUUUCUUUGCGGUGGGUAAUUUUAGGCUUAGUUUGGUAUUGAAGUCUAUUUAAUGUUAUUAGAUAGAAUGAAGUUGAAAAAAAGUAUAUAGCGAUAUAUUUCUGCGUUUUUCAAUGGAACCGCAGAAAAUAUAUCAUAACCGACUAACCGUAAUAUGCGGAACACAAUAUUACAUACUGAAACAAACGCAAACUCCCCGCAAUCCCAAACGAAGCCUUAGUGAGAUUCUGAUUUUCAGAAAGCAAAAUUUUUAUUUUAAAUCUUCUGAUUCUAUUAGAGAGGUUGAGGG
rnacentral:lncRNA from 1 species